UCGUGUUGUAUUUUAGAUGUGAACAGAAAAGAAAACCCGAAAAUUGUAAACACCACCCCUUUUAUUGUUUUAGUUGGUCAAGAAACAAAAGAAAAAAAAAAAAAAAAACCCCCCUACUGUUUCUCUCUCCCAUGGAAAACCAAACCCUCAUUCAUUCUCUUCCACCUUGAGCACCGUCUCUAUUUCUCUUCCCUGGGUUGCUGUUGGAACUCGUCGGUUUCCCUAGGCUCGUCGGAGCUUCGUCGUCUGCCACCACAAGCUAGCGGUGUUGCUCCCUACUUUUUCCUCUCUCCUCUGCUGUGUUACGUGUUGCUGCUGUUACUCUGUGGCGGCGUUGCUGGUGCUGCCACCGUGCGCGGUACUCUGAAUUUCUCUCUCUCCUUGUUUGUUGUUGUGUGGUGUUGUUGUCUUCGUUGUUGCUUCGUGGACCCCAGAGCUCCGAUUGUGGUGGCGGGUCGCUCGAGUUUGCCCGUCGUGAGUUGACAUUAGAGCAGGUUUCUUGUUGGAUUCGCGAAGUUUAAGGUGAGGACGGAAAUUCAUAGAGGAACUUUAUAUUCGAAGACUUCCAAAUGUAAAUUGUACUUGGGUUUAAAUAUGUAUUAGUUAUAUUAGUCUUGUUGAGGUUUUGAUUGAAGACUUCUUUGAUUAGUUUGUAAUACUGAUUAGUGCCAUUGGUCUUGUUGAGGUUUUGAUUGAAGAUUUCUUUGAUUAGUUUGUAAUACUGAUUAUUGCCAUUGGGCUUGAUUCCCUCUUGAGGUUGUUUCCGCGAAAGCGUUGACGGUUUUAGGUUUUGAUUGAAGAUUUCUUUGAUUAGUUUGUAAUACUGAUUAUUGCCAUUGGGCUUGAUUCCCUCUUGAGGUUGUUUCCGCGAAAGCGUUGACGGUUUUAGGUUUUGAGAUGAAGAAUAUUAUAUUUUAUUGAGUUUGUAAACAGGUUUAAAUUAUUUCCCACUUUGGGUUGUCCAAUUUUCA